rnacentral:rRNA from 1 species
UGGGGAAUUUUGCGCAAUGGGGGAAACCCUGACGCAGCAACGCCGCGUGGGUGAUGAAGGCCUUCGGGUCGUAAAGCCCUGUCGGGAGGAAAGAAAUGAUUGAGGGCUAAUACCUCUUGAUCUUGACGGUACCUCCGAAGGAAGCACCGGCUAACUCCGUGCCAGCAGCCGCGGUAAUACGGAGGGUGCAAGCGUUGUUCGGAAUUAUUGGGCGUAAAGCGCGUGUAGGCGGUCUUUUAAGUCUGAUGUGAAAGCCCCGGGCUCAACCUGGGAAGUGCAUUGGAAACUGGGAGACUUGAGUACGGGAGAGGAGAGUGGAAUUCCUAGUGUAGGAGUGAAAUCCGUAGAUAUUAGGAGGAACACCGGUGGCGAAGGCGGCUCUCUGGACCGAUACUGACGCUGAGACGCGAAAGCGUGGGUAGCAAACAGGAUUAGAUACCCUGGUAGUCCACGCCGUAAACGAUGAGUACUAGGUGUUGCGGGUAUUGA